AGAAUCAACGCUGGCGGCGUGCCUAACACAUGCAAGUCGCACGAGAAAGGGGCUUCGGCCCUGAGUACAGUGGCGCACGGGUGAGUAACACGUGAAUUAUCUACCUUCGAGUGGGGAAUAACUGGGAGAAAUCUCAGCUAAUACCGCAUAACACUUACGAGUCAAAGCAGCAAUGCGCUUGAAGAGGAGUUCGCGGCAGAUUAGUUAGUUGGCGGGGUAAUGGCCCACCAAGACGAUGAUCUGUAUCCGGCCUGAGAGGGCGCACGGACACACUGGAACUGAAACACGGUCCAGACUCCUACGGGAGGCAGCAGUGGGGAAUUUUGCGCAAUGGGGGAAACCCUGACGCAGCAACGCCGCGUGGAGGAUGAAAUCCCUUGGGAUGUAAACUCCUUUCGAUCGGGAAGAUUAUGACGGUACCGAUAGAAGAAGCCCCGGCUAACUUCGUGCCAGCAGCCGC
rnacentral:rRNA from 1 species